UCCCUCUUAGCUCAGUGGUAGAGCGCUUCACUAGUAUCUACAAUAGAUACGGUUUAACCAUGAAGAGGUCAGUCGUUCAAGUCGGCUAGAGGGAA